CCUUUAGGUUCGGAAUAACAGUGAGAAAUUACUGCUAAUACCGGAUGAUGUCUUCGGACCUUGCGCUAAUAGAUGAGCCUAAGUCGGAUUAGCUAGUUGGUGGGGUAAAGGCCUACCAAGGCGACGAUCUGUAGCGGGUCUGAGAGGAUGAUCCGCCACACUGGGACUGAGACACGGCCCAGACUCCUACGGGAGGCAGCAGUGGGGAAUUUUCCGCAAUGGGCGAAAGCCUGACGGAGCAAUACCGCGUGAGGGAAGACUGCCUAUGGGUUGUAAACCUCUUUUUUCAGGGAGGAAUAAAAUGACGUGUACCUGAAGAAUAAGCAUCGGCUAACUCCGUG
rnacentral:rRNA from 1 species